rnacentral:rRNA from 1 species
AUACGGAGGGUGCAAGCGUUACUCGGAAUCACUGGGCGUAAAGCGCGCGCAGGCGGCCAUUUAAGUUGGAUGUGAAAGCCUACGGCUCAACCGUAGAACUGCAUCCAAAACUAUUUGGCUAGAGUGUGGGAGAGGAAGAUGGAAUUAGUUGUGUAGGAGUAAAAUCCGUAGAGAUAACUAGGAAUACCAAAAGCGAAGGCAAUCUUCUGGAACACUACUGACGCUGAGGCGCGAAAGCGUGGGGAGCAAACGGGAUUAGAAACCCCAGUAGUCC